rnacentral:tRNA from 1 species
GGUGGCGUAGCCAAGUGGUAAGGCAGGGGCCUGCAAAGCCCCCAUCCGCGAGUUCAAAUCCCGCCGCCACCU